rnacentral:rRNA from 1 species
UACGUAGGGUGCGAGCGUUAAUCGGAAUUACUGGGCGUAAAGCGUGCGCAGGCGGUUUUGUAAGUCAGAUGUGAAAUCCCCGGGCUCAACCUGGGAACUGCGUUUGAAACUACAAGGCUAGAGUGUAGCAGGAGGGGGUAGAAUUCCACGUGUAGCAGUGAAAUGCGUAGAGAUGUGGAGGAAUACCAAUGGCGAAGGCAGCCCC